rnacentral:tRNA from 1 species
GCCCGGAUAGCUCAGUCGGUAGAGCAGAGGAUUGAAAAUCCUCGUGUCGGUGGUUCGAUUCCGCUCCGGGCACCA